rnacentral:rRNA from 1 species
GACUAACGCUGGCGGCGUGCCUAAUACAUGCAAGUCGAACGGUCAUGCAUUUGUAGCAAUAUGAGUGCAUGGUAGUGGCGAACGGGUGAGUAACACGUGGAUAACCUACCUUUAUGUGGGGGAUAACUCCGGGAAACUGGGGCUAAUACCGCAUGACAUCAUUCUGGGGCAUCUCAGGAUGAUCAAAGUCGUAAGACGCAAAAAGAUGGAUCCGCGUCCCAUCAGCUAGUUGGCGGGGUAAUGGCCCACCAAGGCUUUGACGGGUAGCCGGACUGAGAGGUCGAUCGGCCACAAGGGGACUGAGACACGGCCCCUACUCCUACGGGAGGCAG